CCGGAAGUGGAAGCACCGCGAGGUGUGGAGCUGACCGGUACUAACAGGCCGAGGGCUUGACCA
rnacentral:rRNA from 1 species